GAUGAGUAAACAGUAAGAGUAAACACUACACAGUAGUGCUACCUGGCGGACGGCGGCUAUUAUUCCGUGCGCCUGCCGAGUGGAGUGAACAGUGGACACCGAGCGCGCAUUCUAUGUAAUUCGAGGAGAACUAUGAGAAGUAUUUACAUUUCAGAAGUUUCGUAGCCGCGGCCCGCGUGUACAACACAAGUAAUUGCAACUGGCUUGUUUCCGUGUGUAUAGUUGGUUCGAUUGAUAAUUUAUAUACUGAUGGUGUUAUGAGCACAUAUCUGUAACUCGACACGAUUGGAAAACAUAUUAUUUUGGAAAUAAUACGGUUUUUUCAGGAGGAACGGGAUGGUGCCAGCGCGAGUGGCAGCGCGGGGGCGAGAGAGCGGGCCCACCUGAACUGCGACCUGCGGAUGUAGAUGGGAGCCACGCAGCGCUCGUCGUCGCCGCCGGCGGGCUGCUUCGCCGCCAGCCACGUCGUCGCCACGCCCUUGUUGGUCCUCUUGGUGGGCGUCUCGUACUGCACCAGCACCGCCGUGAUGUGCACCGUGUCGGGGUGUACCUGCACAGGACCCCGCUCCGCCUGCUACCCCGCUGCUCUGGUGCUUGCGAUACAAGUGGUGAGGUUAGGUCACACAUCACAAACACAGUGACUUUGAUGAAAAUGGAUCAAUUAAUUAAGUUUAGCUACAAUAAAAAUCCUAAAAUUUUGUUUGAACAA